rnacentral:rRNA from 1 species
UGGGCGUAAAGCGUGCGUAGGCGGCUCUUUAAGUCAGAUGUGAAAUCCCCGGGCUCAACCUGGGAACUGCAUCUGAUACUGGGGAGCUAGAAUUUGGGAGAGGGAAGUGGAAUUUCCGGUGUAGCGGUGAAAUGCAUAGAGAUCGGAAGGAACAUCAGUGGCGAAGGCGACUUCCUGGACCAAAAUUGACGCUGAGGCACGAAAGCGUGGGUAGCAAACAGGAUUAGAUACCCUGGUAGUCCACGCCGUAAACGAUGUCAACUACCGUCGGCUCCAACUAAGGGGUCGGUGGUGCAGCUAACGCAUUAAGUUGACCGCCUGGGGAGUACGC